GACGAACGCUGGCGGCGUGCUUAACACAUGCAAGUCGAACGGAAAGGCCCCAGCUUGCUGGAGUACUCGAGUUGCGAACGGGUGAGUAACACGUGGGUCAUCUGCCCUGCACUCUGCGAUAAGCCUGGGAAACUGGGUCUAAUACUGGAUAUGACCUUUCUCCCUAUGGGGUUUGGUGGAAAGUUUUUCGGUGUAGGAUGAGCCCGCGGCCUAUCAGCUUGUUGGUUGGGUGAGGGCCUACCAAGGCGACGACGGGUAGCCGGCCUGAGAGGGUGAUCGGACACAUUGGGACGGAGAUAAGGCGCAGACGCCGACGGGAGGCAGCAGUGGGGAAUAGUGCACAAUGGGCGGAAGCCUGAUGCAGCGACGCCGCGUGAGGGAUGACGGCCUUCGGGUUGUAAACAUCAUUCAGCAGGGAUGAAGCGUAAGUGACGGUACCUGCAGAAGAAGCACCGGCUAACUAUGUG
rnacentral:rRNA from 1 species